GCACAAGCGGUGGAGCAUGUGGUUUAAUUCGACGCAACGCGAAGAACCUUACCUGGGCUUGACAUCCCGAUCGUACCUGCUGGAAACAGCGGGGUCAGUUCGGCUGGAUCGGAGACAGGUGCCGCAUGGCUGUCGUCAGCUCGUGUCGUGAGAUGUUGGGUUAAGUCCCGCAACGAGCGCAACCCUUGUCCUUAGUUGCCAUCAUUUAGUUGGGCACUCUAAGGAGACUGCCGGUGUUAAACCGGAGGAAGGUGGGGAUGACGUCAAGUCCUCAUGGCCCUUAUGUCCAGGGCUACACACGUGCUACAAUGGUUGGUACAACGAGUUGCGAGUCGGUGACGGCGAGCUAAUCUCUUAAAGCCAAUCUCAGUUCGGAUUGUAGGCUGCAACUCGCCUACAUGAAGUCGGAAUCGCUAGUAAUCGCGGAUCAGCACGCCGCGGUCGAAUACGUUCCGGGCCUU
rnacentral:rRNA from 1 species